UACGUAGGGUGCGAGCGUUAAUCGGAAUUACUGGGCGUAAAGGGUGCGCAGGUGGCAUGGCAAGUUUGAUGUGAAAGCUCAGGGCUCAACCCUGAAAUGGCAUUGAAUACUGCUGUGCUGGAGGUUUGGAGGGGGGACUGGAAUUCUUGGUGUAGCAGUGAAAUGCGUAGAUAUCAAGAGGAACACCAGUGGCGAAGGCGAGUCCCUGGACAACACCUGACACUGAGGCACGAAAGCUAGGGGAGCAAACAGG
rnacentral:rRNA from 1 species